CUGACCUCAGAUCAGGCAAGACCACCCGCUGAGUUUAAGCAUAUCACUAAGCGGAGGAAAAGAAACUAACAAGGAUUCCCCUAGUAGCGGCGAGCGAACCGGGAGAAGCCCAGCUUGAAAAUCGCGUCGCUUCGCGGCGCGAGUUGUAGUCUG
rnacentral:rRNA from 1 species